UGGGGAAUAUUGGACAAUGGGCGAAAGCCUGAUCCAGCAAUGCCGCGUGAGUGAUGAAGGCCUUAGGGUUGUAAAGCUCUUUUACCCGGGAUGAUAAUGACAGUACCGGGAGAAUAAGCUCCGGCUAACUCCGUGCCAGCAGCCGCGGUAAUACGGAGGGAGCUAGCGUUAUUCGGAAUUACUGGGCGUAAAGCGCACGUAGGCGGCUUUGUAAGUUAGAGGUGAAAGCCUGGAGCUCAACUCCAGAAUUGCCUUUAAGACUGCAUCGCUUGAAUCCAGGAGAGGUGAGUGGAAUUCCGAGUGUAGAGGUGAAAUUCGUAGAUAUUCGGAAGAACACCAGUGGCGAAGGCGGCUCACUGGACUGGUAUUGACGCUGAGGUGCGAAAGUGUGGGGAGCAAACAGGAUUAGAUACCCUGGUAGUCCACGCCGUAAACUAUGCGUGUUGGACGUUGGCGAGCCUAGCUCGUCGGUGUCGCAGCUAACGCGUUAAACACGCCGCCUGGGGAGUACGGCCGCAAGGUUA
rnacentral:rRNA from 1 species